rnacentral:rRNA from 1 species
CAGUCGCCACGGUAAUACAGAGGGUGCAAGCGUCAAUCGGAUUUACUGGGCGUAAAGGGCGCGUAGGUGGUUAUGUAAGUGAGAUGUGAAAUCCCCGGGCUCAACCUGGGAACUGCAUCUUAUACUGCGUAGCUGGAGUGCAGUAGAGGGUAGUGGAAUUUCCGGUGUAGCGGUGAAAUGCGUAGAUAUCGGAAGGAACACCUGUGGCGAAAGCGGCUCACUGGACCAUUUCUGACGCUGAUGCACGAAAGCUAGGGGAGCAAACAGGAUUAGAUACCCGCGUAGUCCCUGUCUCUUAUAC